rnacentral:rRNA from 1 species
GGAGGGGGCUAGCGUUGUUCAGAAUUACUGGGCGUAGAGGGCGCGUAGGCGGCCUGCCAAGUUAGGGGUGAAAGGCCCGGGCUCAACCCGGGAACUGCCCUUGAAACUGGCAAGCUAGAGUCCGAGAGAGGAUGGCGGAAUUCCCAGUGUAGAGGUGAAAUUCGUAGAUAUUGGGAAGAACACCGGUGGCGAAGGCGGCCAUCUGGCUCGGUACUGACGCUGAGGCGCGAAAGCGUGGGGAGCAAACAGGAUUAGAUACCCUGGUAGUCCACGCCGUAAACGAUGUGUGCUAGACGUUGGGGGUCUUAGGCCCUUGGUGUCGUAGCUAACGCGUUAAGCACACCGCCUGGGGAGUACGGCCGCAAGGUUA